GGAAGGAUCAUUAAACGAUGCAUAUGGCAUUCAUUACCAAUGAAUGAACAUAUAAACCCACCCGUGUAUAAACUCCUGUUGCUUCCGUGGGGCGGUGACCGCCGCCGAAGGAUGGCUUCGGCCGUCCGGAGGAGAGUCCCCGCGGGAGGUAUAACAUAAACUACUUGCAUCUUCAUGCUCUUAGUCUGUACAUAAUCCAUAAACGUUAAAACUUUCAACAACGGAUCUCUUGGUUCUCGCAUCGAUGAAGAACGCAGCGAAAUGCGAUAAGUAGUGUGAAUUGCAGAAUUCAGUGAAUCAUCGAAUCUUUGAACGCACAUUGCGCCUCCUGGUAUUCCGGGAGGCAUGCCUGUUCGAGCGUCAUUAAAAACCAUCAAGCACUCUUGCUUGGACUUGGUGGAUGAGUGCCUACGGCCCUCACUGCCGAAAUCGAACGGCGGAUAGCCUUGGGGUGCCCCAGCGUAGUAAGUCUUCUUUCGCUUGGAACCCGAGGCGGUCCUGCCCCAAACCCCCACAUUCUAUGGUUGACCUCGGAUCAGGUAGGGAUACCCGCUGAACUUAAGCAUAUCAAUAAGCGGAGGAAAAGAAACCAACAGGGAUUGCCUUAGUAACUGCGAGUGAAGCGGCAAAAGCUCAAAUUUGAAAUCUGGCGCCUUCGGUGUCCGAGUUGUAAUUUGGAGGGAUAUCUUCGGGGCUGACGCCGUCCUAAGUUCUUUGGAACAGGACAUCAUAGAGGGUGAGAAUCCCGUGCCUGGAUGGCUGUUCAGCUCCAUGUGAAGUGUCUCCGACGAGUCGAGUUGUUUGGGAAUGCAGCUCAAAAUGGGUGGUAAAUUUCAUCUAAAGCUAAAUAUUGGCGAGAGACCGAUAGCGAACAAGUAGAGUGAUCGAAAGAUGAAAAGCACUUUGAAAAGAGAGUUAAAAAGUACGUGAAAUUGUUGAAAGGGAAGCGCAUGCGACCAGACUCAAUCUUUGGUGAUCAUCUGGGGUUCUCUCCAGUGCACUUGCCAUUGAUUGGGCCAGCAUCGGUUUCGGCGGUGGGAUAAAAGCUUGAGGAAUGUAGCUUCCCUCGGGGAGUGUUAUAGCCCCUUGCACAAUGCCGCCAGUCGGGACCGAGGACCGCGCUUCGGCUAGGAUGCUGGCGUAAUGGUCUUAUGCGACCCGUCUUGAAACACGGACCAAGGAGUCUAACAUCUAUGCGAGUGUUCGGGUGGAAAACCCUUGCGCGUAAUGAAAGUGAACGGAGGUGGGAACACUUCACGGUGCGCACCAUCGACCGGUCCUGAAGUCUUCGGAAGGAUCUGAGUAAGAGCAUAGCUGUUGGGACCCGAAAGAUGGUGAACUAUGCCUGAAUAGGGUGAAGCCAGAGGAAACUCUGGUGGAGGCUCGCAGCGGUUCUGACGUGCAAAUCGAUCGUCAAAUUUGGGUAUAGGGGCGAAAGACUAAUCGAACCAUCUAGUAGCUGGUUCCUGC
rnacentral:misc_RNA from 1 species